GUUCUAACAUAAUCUCCCAAAGUUCCCCCAAAGGGAUUCCGUUCCAGUUGCCCGCAGUGAUAAUUUGCUGGGUAAUGCAGCUUCUAUCAGCUUCCUCUCCUCCCAUGUCUCAUACUCACACUUCUUCACUGGGCUUUCUUGGAAUCACCUCCCAGAUUAGCUUAUAACAAUCGAAGCUUUGUCUCUGCCUACUUCUGAGGGGACCCAGAAAUAUAUUUCCCUAGAAUUAGAGCAAAGAGUGACGAGAACCAGCAGGAAGACAGAACAAAAAGCUAACAGAAUCAUAGAAGUGUUCAAACAACCAGCUAAAUUCAUUGCACAUAUUUCUCAACCACAGAAAUAUUUCAGGUGACUCUGUUUUUGACAAAACGUGGGAACCACAGGAUCUACAACACUUACAAGCAAAACUCAACAAGUCUAAUAAUAGUUACAGAAGUGAAAGCCAAUUUGGAUAAAAUAAGACAUUGACUCAAGUCCUCUGAGAGAAGAUUUUUGAAAACAAAGUUUACAAAAAUCUCAUUUUGCCUUUUGGGAAAUCACAGACCUUUUUGCACCUUGACUCUUUCUCUGGGUUUCUUUAUUACUGGGAGAAUUUUCUGCAGCAUUUCUUCUCCAUCUGACAUCAUGGAAUGUGAUACUUUCUUUUUUUCUUUUUUUAUCAUACAGUGAUUAAAAGGCUAUUGCAUGAUCUGUC
rnacentral:lncRNA from 1 species